UACGUAGGGGGCAAGCGUUGUCCGGAAUCAUUGGGCGUAAAGCGCGUGUAGGCGGCCCGAUAAGUCCGCUGUGAAAGUCCAGGGCUCAACCCUGGAAUGCCGGUGGAUACUGUCGGGCUCGAGUCCGGAAGAGGCGAGUGGAAUUCCUGGUGUAGCGGUGAAAUUCGCAGAUAUCAGGAAGAACACCAAUGGCGAAGGCAGCACUCUGGGACGUGACUGACGGCUGAGACGCGAAAGCGUGGGGAGCAAACAGG
rnacentral:rRNA from 1 species